GAUGAAGAACGUAGCAAACUGCGAUACUUGGUGUGAAUUGCAGAAUCCCGUGAACCAUCGAGUCUUUGAACGCAAGUUGCGCUUGAAGCCAUUAGGCUGAGGGCACGUCUGCCUGGGCGUCACACGUCGUUGCCCCCCAUCUACUCCUUCGGGAUUGCGGGGGGCGGAUGAUGGCCUCCCGUGCGCCUCGUCGCGCGGUUGGCAUAAAUGCCAAGUCCUCGGCGACGCACGCCACGACAAUCGGUGGUUGCGAAACCUCGGUUGCCCGUCGUGUGCGGUCGUCGCGCAUCGAGGGCUCGAAAAAAUUGCCGGGCUCCGGCUCGGCUUUCAACGCGACCCCAGGUCAGGCGGGGUUACCCGCUGAAUUUAAGCAUAUCAAUAAGCGGAGGA
rnacentral:misc_RNA from 1 species